rnacentral:lncRNA from 1 species
AUGUUUUUAGGAGUUGACGGAUUAACCAGAGAGAUCAGUAAAUCCACAAAAAUCCUGACCAACAGGCACCAAUUCUCCGAUGUCGGAAGAGACGGUUGUAGGAACCGAUGUCUCCAGGCCUGGGUGGACGUGGCACGGGGAUGCUCAGCUGGGAGCUGGAAGGUAACGCAGCAGUAUAUGAGGGGGAUUUACUUUCAAAAUAACACAGACUACACAUGUUACUGGGCAUCACUGGAUUCAGUGGGACACAGAAACGGUACGUACGGAGAAGCCACGGGUCAAUUUGCAUAAUUUUGUCUUGUUACUAUAUUGGAACUUCAGGCUAUCGGAAGACCACUUUCAUCUGUGGGAACUUCAUAAUUACUUAUUAAGCUUCUGAGGUUUUUACUAGUGUAGCAUUUCUGGGUCAUCAAUGCAAAUUAAUAAUUUAGAUACAUUAAUAAUUUAUGUUAGGGAGUCUGAUGGAGUAACAGGGGCUGGAGGCCAUGGGAUCAAAGGGAAGAAGGAUCUUCUCUGUAGUCAAUGAAGUCACCAGGGUCAUAAAAAGACUAAAAAUCCAUGGAUGGGGAGCCUGCUGUCUCUGUGGAGGAGAGCGAUGUGCUCUACCAAGCUGGGUGAGCAACCUACUGCCCCAGCACAGGAAAACCUGGGCUGGGAAGGUGAACACAAAUAGGUCUUAGCUCAAAAUGUGCUGUGGGCUGUCUUCUGGGUCAGUAUCUCGCAUCUUCAGGUUGUGCUGACUCCCAGAUGAGGUGGGGAAACUCAUUCCAGAGGCUUUGCCAUCAGCCGAAGGCCAAGUCAUGGACAGAGAAGAGGAGGUAAGACUUGGUUGUGGGUGGCCUGUACCAGGCAGGAGAGCCAAGUUCUGGCUGGACAUCCACGUAGUGGUAUGUGAGUUGUUCCCCGUACCAGCAUUUCCAUCCAAAUACUACCUUAGCUCAUGCAUGAGUGGGUUAAUGUUACUAUUCAUAUUCCAGACUCAAACUGGCCCUUGCAGGAAUUAGAAAAAGGAGGUUUCAGCAAAGUGUUAGCUAACAUUUGUUAAUUAUUAUUCUUGAAAGGAAUCCCGUAGCACUUGGCUCCACCAAAACGUUUGGCAUUUUCUUACCCUGUCUCCUUUCCUUGCUGUAGAGAAAUCUGAAGAGAUUGCUUUAGCCAUGGCUGGUCCCAGAGGGUUGGUCACAGGCAGAGAAGGGACGUGGCCAAAACCAAAUGGAAACGUAGGGAGAUGGACACGGAACACACAGAUAAAACCUCCACGUUGCACGGUUUCUCUGGUUUGCCUGAGAGUCUCCCCUCUCUGGUGUGGGCUGUGCCACAUGGAAAUGCCCAUGUUCGGCUGUUUUGUGUAAUUCCUCCUUCACUACCCCUGUUAUUUAGAAUUCUACAUUUGUGUAAGAGCAGCUUAAAAAGAAACGGGGACCCCACAGAGCAAAAUCUGGUGGGAACACGUUGCAGCAACUGAAUUAUGCUCCCCGCAAUAUUAAAGAAACCUCAUUUCCCACCAACCAACUCUUACCCUGGAAAUCAUACAAAUAAAUUAAGGAGCUUUCCAAAGAAACCA